rnacentral:lncRNA from 1 species
AGUGAGCCUUAGAAGAGUGGAAGCUAUUAAAUAGAGACUGAAGGCCUGCAGGAAAGGUCAGCAGAAUUCCAAUGAAGGAAAGACUGAGGAUGGAGUUUAACUGUGGGAAGAAUGUGAGGAGGAGUAACAAAGCUCCCUGUUGGAGGAAGAUAUCCUCUAGCUUUUUGCUGGAGAAGUGAGAGGGAUACCGUGAAGUUGAUACCUGGUGCAAUCUCGAGAUUCAGAAGGUAGAUUCAUCUCCCUACACCCUUUUUCCAUUUUGGCCUGCCCAGUCUCUGCAACAUAUCCAAUAUGGGAUUUGUUCACACUAUGCUUAGUGCCGUUAUGGGGAACCCCAGAAGUAUGACCAAAGGAAUCUAGAUGGAUGAUGAUACUGAGAAGGGGAAGAAACCUAAAUGUGUCUGGAGACCUCCCCCACUCAAAUGUGAAUAGGGUGUUUACACCUUUGUUGAUUAAUUCUAAAAAUGGACAGAUCUCCCCAUACCUGUAAGUAGGGUGUUUAGACAUUUUGUGAUUAAAUCUAAAAAUGGGUAGGGGUUAAAAUUUGAU